AUUGAACGCUGGCGGCAUGCCUUACACAUGCAAGUCGAACGGCAGCACGGGAGCAAUCCUGGUGGCGAGUGGCGAACGGGUGAGUAAUAUAUCGGAACGUGCCCAGUCGUGGGGGAUAACGCAGCGAAAGCUGUGCUAAUACCGCAUACGAUCUACGGAUGAAAGCGGGGGAUCGCAAGACCUCGCGCGAUUGGAGCGGCCGAUAACAGAUUAGCUAGUUGGUGAGGUAAAGGCUCACCAAGGCGACGAACUGUAGCUGGUCUGAGAGGACGACCAGCCACACUGGAAAUGGGACACGGGCCCAACUCCUACGGGAGGCAGCAGUGGGGAAUUUUGGACAAUGGGCGAAAGCCUGAUCCAGCAAUGCCGCAUGCAGGAUGAAGGCCUUCGGGUUGUAAACUGCUUUUGUACGGAACGAAACGGUGAGCUCUAAUACAGUUUGCUAAUGACGGUACCGUAAGAAUAAGCACCGGCUAACUACGUGCCAGCCGCCGCAGUAA
rnacentral:rRNA from 1 species